GAUGAACGCUGGCGGCGUGCCUAAUACAUGCAAGUCGAGCGAACAGACGAGGAGCUUGCUCCUCUGACGUUAGCGGCGGACGGGUGAGUAACACGUGGAUAACCUACCUAUAAGACUGGGAUAACUUCGGGAAACCGGAGCUAAUACCGGAUAAUAUAUUGAACCGCAUGGUUCAAUAGUGAAAGACGGUUUUGCUGUCACUUAUAGAUGGAUCCGCGCCGCAUUAGCUAGUUGGUAAGGUAACGGCUUACCAAGGCGACGAUGCGUAGCCGACCUGAGAGCGGGUAGCGCGACUGUGAGAGUGGACCGCGAUCCUGGGUCCGAGAGACGGCCGAGAUAGGUACUGGAGGGAGCAGGGCGGAAGAUUGAAGAAUCGGCGCCAGGCGGAUGCAGAAGCUCUGCGGGGCGUAUGACUGUGUUAUGGGUGUAAAACAAAUUUGUUAGUGACGAAGCUCGUCUUGACGGUACCUAGACAGAAAGCAACGGCUAACUACGUG
rnacentral:rRNA from 1 species